GUAUUAAAGGCGACGCCUGCCCAGUGAAUAAUUAAACGGCCGCGGUAUCCUAACCGUGCAAAGGUAGCAUAAUCAUUUGUCUAUUAAUUGUAGACCUGUAUGAAAGGCAAAAUGAGAGCCCAACUGUCUCUUAUAACAAAUCAAUAAAACUGAUCUCCUAGUACAAAAGCUAGAAUACUAACAUAAGACCAGAAGACCCUGUGAAGCUUUAACAAACCCAUUAAAUCAAAUAAUGAUUACUUUCGGUUGGGGCGACCUUGGAAUAAAAAAGAACUUCCAACAUAUUGACCUGCUCAUAAAAUAAGGCAAACAAGCCAAUACUAGACCCAGCACAGCUGAUAAUUGAAAUAAGUUACUCCAGGGAUAACAGCGCUAUCUUCUUUAAGAGCCCAUAUCAAAAAGAAGGUUUACGACCUCGAUGUUGGAUCAGGACAUCCCAGUAAUGCAUCCGUUACUAAAGGUUCGUUUGUUCAACGAUUAACAGUCCUACGUGAU
rnacentral:rRNA from 1 species